AGCUGGUUCCCUCCGAAGUUUCCCUCAGGAUAGCUGGAGCCCAUUACGAGUUCUAUCAGGUAAAGCCAAUGAUUAGAGGCAUUGGGGACGCAACGUCCCCCACCUAUUCUCAAACUUUAAAUAGGUAGGAUGGCUCGGCUGCUUCGGUGAGCCGUGCCACGGAAUCGGGUGCUCCAAGUGGGCCAUUUUUGGUAAGCAGAACUGGCGAUGCGGGAUGAACCGGAAGCCGGGUUACG
rnacentral:ncRNA from 1 species